rnacentral:rRNA from 3 species
UACGUAGGGUGCGAGCGUUGUCCGGAAUUAUUGGGCGUAAAGAGCUUGUAGGCGGUUUGUCGCGUCUGCUGUGAAAUCUCAAGGCUCAACCUUGAGCUUGCAGUGGGUACGGGCAGACUAGAGUGUGGUAGGGGAGACUGGAAUUCCUGGUGUAGCGGUGAAAUGCGCAGAUAUCAGGAGGAACACCGAUGGCGAAGGCAGGUCUCUGGGCCACUACUGACGCUGAGAAGCGAAAGCAUGGGGAGCGAACAGG